UACGUAGGGUCCGAGCGUUGUCCGGAAUUAUUGGGCGUAAAGGGCUCGUAGGCGGUCUGUCACGUCGGGAGUGAAAACUUACAGCUUAACUGUGAGCGUGCUUUCGAUACGGGCAGACUUGAGGCAUUCAGGGGAGAACGGAAUUCCUGGUGUAGCGGUGAAAUGCGCAGAUAUCAGGAGGAACACCUGCGGCGAAGGCGGGUUGCUGGGCCGACACUGACGCUGGAGGCGCGAAAGCUAGGGGAGCGAACGGG
rnacentral:rRNA from 1 species